rnacentral:tRNA from 1 species
GCCCGAGUGGCGGAAUGGUAGACGCACAGGACUUAAAAUCCUGGGGUUUUUAAAAACCGUGCCAGUUCAAGUCUGGCCUUGGGCACCA